UUAACUGCCCAUCCCUGUCUUAAGAGGAUACUGAGACCAAAGCCUUAAAUCCCCGAGGCCGGAGAUGGUCCACGGAGCUCUCAUCGUAGCCCUGCGUGUUCAAGAUAUAAGACAGAGUUACUUCUUCACUCUAAUGAGCUGAAUCUAGAAUGAACCCCUGAUUAAGGCUGGCUGUGACUUUCCGCUGUUUGACCACUCUUGAGGUCACUGCUCCAAGGUGACCACCGGCUUGCCGAUGGAUGUCCACCCCUCCCUCGGAUCUUUUUCUUCUUUUUUUCCGCUGGGAACUCCGCCACAUGUGCCGAACAUCUGCAUAAUUCUCCACGGUGCUAAGUUUGGCCAACACAAUGGCGGACUGGACCAAAUACCAGCGGUAUUCAUGGUGAAAC